rnacentral:rRNA from 1 species
UGGGUUGGUAAAUCUCGUGCCAGCCACCGCGGUUAGACGGGAGGCUCGAAUUGAUGCUACACGGCGUAAAGCGUGAUUAAAAAACAAACAGACUAAAGCCAAACACCUCCUAAGCUGUCAUACGCUACUGGAUAAGACGAAGCCCCAUAACGAAAGUAGCUUUAAUACCUUUGAAUACACGACAGUUAAGAAACAAACUGGGAUUAGAUACCCCACUAUGCUUAACCAUAAACAACGAUGACAACCUACAAAUAUCAUCCGCCAGGGGACUACGAGCGUUAGCUUAAAACCCAAAGGACUUGGCGGUGUCUCAAACCCACCUAGAGGAGCCUGUUCUAUAACCGAUAAUCCACGUUAAACCUCACCACCUCUUGCUAAAACCGCCUAUAUACCGCCGUCGUCAGCUUACCUCUUGAGAGACUUAUAGUAAGCCUAAUGAGUUAUACCCAAAACGUCAGGUCGAGGUGUAGCGAAUGAAGUGGGAUGAAAUGGGCUACAUUUUCUGACCCAGAAAAUUUACGGAAAGUGCCAUGAAACAAGCACGACUGAAGGUGGAUUUAGCAGUAAGAAGAAAAUAGAGAGUUCUUUUGAAACCGGCUCUGGACGCGUACACACCGCCCGUCACCCUCCUA